CUGCCCUACUCCGUAGAACUACUGUGACCGAGUCGAGAAAAUAACAGAAAACCAUUGCGAUGGAAGCUUACCUAGUUUACUUAAUGGUUCUCGUCGCAUUUUUGGCAGCAAUUUUAUCCGGGUCUGCAGCACAAAAGAGCCAGAUAAAGGAUACUUCGUUCCGAGACCUUAUUGAUUCUGGUGUUGGUGAACUUCAAAGGCUAAUAUAAAAUUCAAGGUUAGACUUCACUCUACAAUGAACUCCAAAGAGUACCUGACAUUCUCUAAGAGGCCCUGUUUAACAAACGAUUGUGAAAUCGAUAUUCUUUGCAAAAUUUAUGUCUAGAUCAAAUAACAAUUA